GAAUGGCUUCACAUUUUCUAACUGUCUCUCUUUAUUCUCUUUUAAAUUUCUACUUCCGUGAAGAAGCGGAAAUAAUAAUAUAAGACGAGAAGACCCUGUCGAGCUUUAGCCAAUUUAAAAUAAAUAUUAUUAAAAAGGCUUUGGUUGGGGCAACCAUGGAGAAAAUUUAUCCUCCAGAAAUUAAAGAUGAACUAUUAUUCUCUUANUUUAAAUUUGAACCAAUUUAUUUUGGUAAUCAGAAAUAGUUACCGCAGGGAUAACAGCGUAAUCUUCUUUAAGAGCCCAUAUUGACA
rnacentral:rRNA from 1 species